GAAACCACUCGCGCAGGUUGAGAGGUUACACUGAGCUGGGGAGGUUCCGCCACCAGUGUCUGCUCAAAGUGGUUGGGGGAUGGGGUACUUCCCACUUAGGAGGGAAGGGGGGAAUAUGAACAGGUGAGUGGCCACAGUGGGGCUGAGACCCGUAGACAGUGGGACCAGCGGGGGCUUCCCAAAUCCUGGGCCCUCAGACUGCAGGAUCAGAAGAGGGAAAAAACCCCAUAGGACCGGCUCAGCUUCCCGAGGCUGGAGGGUGAGGCUGCCCCCUAGUGGCUGAAGUUCACGACCGGACGGACGUUCAAGGAGUCCCGGGCGUUCCAAUGCUUUCUCCCAGGAAGUGGGCUCUGCAGGCUGGAGUUGCCCUAGUGUCAGGGUGAAGGCUGGGAGCCAACGUCUAAUCAUCAAGGUGAUGGAACUCUGAGGGCUGAAGGGAUGUUAAGGCACUGAGGGCCAGAGCACUUGUUCUCAUCAGCAUCAUCAUCAGCCUCAGCAUCAUUGUCACCGUAAUCAGCAUCAUUGGCAUCAGCAUCAUCAGCAUCACCACCCUCAUCAUCAUCAGUAGCAUCAAUAUCACUAUCAUCAGCAUUAGCAUCAGCAUCAUCAGCAGCAUCAGCACCAUCAGCAUCAUCGUCAUCAGGAUCAUCAGCAUCAUCAGCAGCAUCACCACCAUUAUCAGCAUCAGGAUCACCAUCUAACAUUUUUUGAGGGCUUCAAAUGCACAAGGCACUGGGCUGAUUUCUUUACAUGCAUUGUCUCACUUGUUUCCAACAAUGACAGCCCCCAAAGUUAAGUAUUAUUAUUGUUAAUAUCCUCAUUUACAGAUAUAUAAACUGAAACUUAGAGAGAUUAAGCAACUUGCUUAGGGCCACAGAGCUAUGUUAAGUGUAAUUUUCAAAAAUGUAAAUCACAAUUCUCAGGAAAAUAUAAAAUGAUACCAUGUCAAAGAUUUUAUUUAACUCAAUAACCAAUGAGAGAACCAAUAAGAAGUUUAAACUUAUUCAAAGAGCAUUAGAGAAUUUAGAUAUAUGCAGGCAAUUUAACAACAAAAAAAUAAGGCGAGUAUGAUAGGCUAAAUAAUGUUCCCUCUGGAAAAAAAUCAAUCCUGAUCCCUGGAAUUUCUGAAUAUGUUACUUAUGUUACUUUAUAAAUAGAAAGGACUUUACAGAUGUGAUUAAAUUAUGGGUUUUGAGAUGGGGAGAUUAUUCUGGAUUAUCUGGGUAGGUCCAAUGUAAUCACAUGCAUUCUUAUAGGAGGGAGACAGGAGUGUCAGCUGAGAGAGAAGACAUAAGAACGAAAGCGGAGGUUGGAGUGAUGUGCUUUGAAGACGGAGGAAGAGGCCAUAAGCCAAGGAAUGAACCUCACCAGCACCACAGGACCCACCACCACCAUCACAAGCCUUAUCAUCACCCCUGCCUUCUCUAUCCCUGCAGCAGUCCGGGGAUAGACACAGGGAGAGGACAGCCAUCUUACCAGCCGAGGAAGGAAGCCUCAGAGAAACCAACACUGCCAACACUCGGAUCUCUGGCCUCCAGGAUUGUGACCGCACCCACCACAGUUAUCACAGGGGCAGCUAUAAUGGCAGCAGCUGCAGCAGCAGUGAGCCCCAUGCCAAUAGAGAGACAUAGGCAGUCACACCCAUUGUAGAACUGAUCACUUAGGCCAAGUUAUUAAUUUUGUACUGGAGGAAACUGAAGUCCAGAGAGGUCAACUGACUUAUUCAAGCCUAUGGAGCUCUUAAAUAGAAAACUAAGUCCAAAGAUCCUAUUUUUUGGCCUCACAUUUUCUUUCUUUCUACUGGUCCACAUGACUUCAUCCCAGCCCAUCAGCCCUGGAGGCUGGGCUAAGGACAGCCCCACUAUUUGAGCCUGCUCUUCCUUCCUAUCAGGAGCAAACCAUCAUGAAAAUCAGCCCCAUUAAACUCUGAUUGUCUGUG